AAUUAUAGCAGACACCACAUGAUCUUCAAAGCCUAAAAUAGGCUAUCUGGCCCCCUUUCCAGAAGUUUGUUAACCCCUGCUCAAAGUCAGGGUUGACAGCUGAGGAUGUUAAGCUGAGGAC